rnacentral:rRNA from 1 species
GAUGAACGCUGGCGGCGUGCUUAACACAUGCAAGUCGAACGAUGAAGCCCAGCUUGCUGGGUGGAUUAGUGGCGAACGGGUGAGUAACACGUGAGUAACCUGCCCUUAACUCUGGGAUAAGCCUGGGAAACUGGGUCUAAUACCGGAUAGGAGCGCCUACCGCAUGGUGGGUGUUGGAAAGAUUUAUCGGUUUUGGAUGGACGCGCGGCUUAUCAGCUUGUUGGUGAGGUAAUGGCUCACCAAGGCGACGACGGGUAGCCGGCCUGAGAGGGUGACCGGCCACACUGGGACUGAGACACGGCCCAGACUCCUACGGGAGGCAGCAGUGGGGAAUAUUGCACAAUGGGCCAAAGCCUGAUGCAGCGACGCCGCGUGAGGGAUGACGUCCUUCGGGUUAUGAACCUCUUUCAGUAGGGAAGAAGCGAAAGUGACGGUACCUGCAGAAGAAGCACCGGCUAACUACGUG